rnacentral:rRNA from 1 species
GAUGAACGCUAGCGACAGGCUUAACACAUGCAAGUCGAGGGGCAGCGGGGAGUAGCAAUACUUCGCCGGCGACCGGCGCACGGGUGAGUAACACGUGUGCAACCAACCCCGUACCGGGAGAUAACCCGCGGAAACGUGGACUAACAUCCCAUGAUACUCGAGAGCCGCAUGGCUCUAGAUUUAAAAUUCCGGUGGUACGGGACGGGCACGCGCGACAUUAGGUAGUUGGCGGGGUAAGGGCCCACCAAGCCGACGAUGUCUAGGGGUUCUGAGAGGAAGGUCCCCCACACUGGAACUGAGACACGGUCCAGACUCCUACGGGAGGCAGCAGUGAGGAAUAUUGGUCAAUGGGCGAGAGCCUGAACCAGCCAAGUCGCGUGAGGGACGAAUGGUCUAUGGCCUGUAAACCUCUUUUGUCAAGGAAGAAUAAAUCGCACGGGUGCGAUCUUGCCAGUACUUGACGAAUAAGCAUCGGCUAACUCCGUGCCAGCAGCCGCGGUAAUACGGGGGAUGCGAGCGUUAUCCGGAUUUAUUGGGUUUAAAGGGUGCGUAGGCGGAAAGUUAAGUCAGCGGUAAAAUCGAGAGGCUCAACCUCUUUCAGCCGUUGAAACUGGUUUUCUAGAGUGAGUGAGAAGUACGCGGAAUGCGAGGUGUAGCGGUGAAAUGCAUAGAUAUCACGCAGAACUCCAAUUGCGAAGGCAGCGUACCGGCACUCAACUGACGCUGAAGCACGAAAGCGUGGGGAUCGAACAGG